CGAGCGGUGGGCCAGUGACCUGAGUGCACGUUCAUUUGGCUUGGUUUGUUUCAGAUCCUACACAGUGGUCUCUCUGACCACCAAGGAAUGUGGAGAGAUGCCCUGGCAGUCAGGCUGGGAUAAUGGACUGAGGGCGAAGAACACCAAGGAGCACAGUGCCGAGAGGACCAACCACACCUGAGGAUCUAAGGUGCUUUCUGGGCCGCACACAGCGUGGACAGGCCCUGCUCUCUGCAGUUUUACUCCAGUGGCCUGAGGAUGCGUCAACAAGUAGAUACAUCAAGGGCCGGGGAUUUAGCUCAGUGGUUUCGCUACCUGCUGCACAAGUGCAAGGACCGGAGUUCAAUCCCCGGUACCAAAAAAAAACCCAACAAGUAGAUACAUCACAUGAUGGGGCUAGGAAGGGGAAAAGGGGGUUCUGUGGGAGUGGCUGAUUCAAAUGAGGGUAGCCAGAAGAGUGGCAGGGGCAGGCCAGCGGCUGUCUGGGACAAGAGAGCAGAGAGAGGGACCAGCUGGUGCAAAGGAUCCUCUCAGGCGAGGUGGGCAGGAGCAGCGGGAGGCCCAUGCAGCUGGACAGUUGGAGACCGGCAGGGAUGGUGCCUGCCCUCAUAGGGCAGGGUGGGCCCAGCCAAGCUGAGCACAGCACACCUUUCUGAGCCUCAGUUUCUCCAAAUGAAGAGCUUGGGCUGCUUCUAGGUAUCUUAUGUCACCUAUGUCCUAAGACGCAGAGAAGCAUGUUAACUGUGAUCCUGAUGGAGUGCAGGACACGCAAACCUAAAAUACGACUGUCGGAGAACAGAGUAUGCCACUGCAAGUAUGUUGCUCUGGAACAAGUGUUAUUUUGAGCCAGUUAUUUUGGAAGACUGCAGACAUAAGAAAAGCUUUGGAAACAGAAAAGAGGUGAGCUUUUUGUAAGGGAAAUUUACAUUGCUAAGGAAAGAUUUCUGUAAGGUGCCUCUCUGUCUCUGGAUCAGGAAGAGAAAGAGGACUCCAAAUCACAAAAGACUCACAGUCAGUGGAAAAGGCACCACUUAGAUCUGUAGAACAAUUCAUCUUGUUUUUACAGGACUUUUCCACACCCUUAUUUCUUUAUUUCAAGAAUAAUUAUAUUUUUUUAAAAAAAAAAGAAUAAUCAUAUUUAAACUUGAAGUCUAAGCCAGCUCUUUGAGAUCUACUCUUCCGAUUUCUCAUCUUUCUGGAUUAUCUCCCAGGUAUACAGGAGGUAUACAUGUUAUUCAGUUUCUUAUUCUUGUGUUAAUCUGCCUUUUGCUGCAAGGAAUCUCAGCUAAGAUCUCAUGAAGGGUGGAGGAGGAAAUGAUGCUUCCUCCUCCACAUUCCAUCUUUAGAAGCAAACACUGCCCGAAUCCUUAGGUACACAUGUACAUUUGACAUAUAUGCACGUUAUUACACAUAGAGAAUUAUGGCAGGUUGUAUAUCCCCAAGGCUAAUUUGAGCUUCCUGGACAAAAGAAAAAAGACAAACAGAAUAAAGACAGACCUCAUUAAUAUACUUCAAAACUUCAUGUUGCAUAUGAUAAAUAUAUAUACAUUUUGUUGGUCAAUUUAAAAAUAAAAAAUAAAAAUCUUUUAAAAUUAAAAAGAAGAUCCCAUUACAACCAAGGAUAUAUAUGUAGAUGAGCUCACCGGAAAAACAAGAUGGAGCUAGAUCUAAACCUAUGGAUUCGUAGGGUCACCACUAAAGAGUAAGUGAAACCAUUAAAAAAAAAGCUACAGCGUUGAGAAUGGUUUAAUCCUGUGUUUGUGAAGGCAGACCUGACGAUAACUUCCCUGCCUACUUCCGUCCUGUGUGGCCGGCUGUGCGGAGGCCGUCCUCACAGGGUCUCUGGGAGGACUGGAGAAGCUGCUGCACCUCCUCCAGAUAGGUGAUGGGGGGGGUGGCCCAACCCUGGCCCCAGGGGACUCCCAGGAGCAGGGCAAGCCCAGGAACAGGAUUCUGGACGACUUCGGCCCUGCCACGCUUGCCCUCUGAAUGCAGGAACUGCUGUCUUCAGCCACAAAACCCUUGGCGGGGCAUUUUUGAAAUUAGAAGGCCGUGUAGCACUCACACUGAAACUCGCCAUUGUGUUGGUGUCGGAGGUCCUUAAGAGGUACGCCAGGCCCGCAGACAUGGAAGGAACAAAGCCAGCACCUAGAGGGCAGGAAACGCAAUGUCCCGGUUGAAUCCCCUCCUCCCAGACUAGCAAUUGCAGCUGGGUAAGAUGCUGCUGCUCAUAAGGCUGCAUACUAAGCAGAGGUCACCAGGAUCAUCAAAUUCACCACCAACAAAGCCCACUCCUUUUCAGAGCUUAUCAGCAAGAACAGCAUGGACCAGCUUUGUGUUGCAGGGGGAUCAUGUGGAGCCCUGUGGCCCUGGGCCGAACAGCUAGCAGCAUGUGAGUCUCUUGUUCCUGCCAAAAGCAGUGGUAGAUUUGUGAAUGUUAAUUUACACAAGACAGUGGGUGUGCACUGUCUCUAAAAAUAAUGCUGACUCUCGCACGUGCAUGCUGAAGCAGAUAGAUGUGCCUGUCCCCCACGGAGUCCUCAGAGGAUACAUCUUUCCUAUUCUUAAAACAAGGGCGAAGUUUAAGAAAUAAAGAUAAAAACGCUAUUUGCUUUUCUCUAUUUGCAUUUUCAGGCUAGUGGUGUCAGAGAUGCCUGACCCUUGCCGAGUCCCGGUUGGCACACAUGGAGACUGCCUUUGAGGCGGUGACUUCCUGAGUGCUGACCCCGUG